CAACUGUCACUGCCUAUGCCUCCCAAAAGGUCACCUGGAGACUACAAUGAGACAACUAUAGGCACUGAAGAGAACCUGUCCUGAAUCAAGGUUAAGCGGGGAGAGUUUUCUUACUUACAAAUAUUCUAGAUGUGGAAGACCAAUAAAAGCAUCAUCACUGAUCACAUCAAAGGAGUUCGACGUAAAUAACCUGCCCAGAGAGAGGUGCACACAGUGAGAAGAGUUACACUGUCAGCCGCCCAUCUCCCCUGCCUUGGUCUCUCAGAGAACCAGGUGGAGGCUGACACAGAAACUGACACAGCUAGCCGUCAGCUCCCACUGCGUUCAUCUGAAGUUAUCCGGUAACUCCCCGGAACACCAAGGAGUGAUUUAAACUGCAUCUUAAGCUUGGUCUGUACCCUGCCUCAUCUUCCAAGGUUUGACAUCCCCUUUCAUCCUUAAAGGCUACAAUGUGGGUCUUACAGUUUCCACUUAACACAGGAAGAAAACUGAGGUGAGAGGAGGUAAGAUCAUUUGAAACUUGUACGUGGUAGAGCUGGCAUUCUGGGCUCUGGCAUGAUUGUCCCACAGGCACUGGUUAAUGCUCAUGAUCACAGUCAGCUUUGUCCCCUUGGUCCUGCCGGCUCUGCCCAGUAGCCACAAACCAGAACAGCUGACCAGUAUUUCCCGGGAAGCAUUCCCUUGUGUUCAGACCCAAGACCUUUCAGGGUCCGAGAGAGGUACAUGCAGAGGAAAAGGCAGCUAAGUUUAGGAGUGGGUUGAAGAAACUAAUCAGGCAUUUUAGGUCUAUGUGUCCUUUCUCCCUUUAAAUUUCGAAGGGGAAUUAAACAUGCAGGUUUCGCAAUCUAAUUGGUCGCCGGACCUAUCAAUCACUGAGAUCUACACAAACUGAGUGUCUCAUGGAAAGGUUCCAGGGAAGUGCUGGCUCAGCCACAGAGUAAACAACGACGAGAGAACUCACUUUACUUAAAAAACUGAGAGUUCAUUCAAGCUCUGGAGCCCUUCGCCUGAUGACCGAGUUUCAAGGCGUUAUCUACUUCCUGGGAGAGAAGCAUCUAUAUGGAGGUCCCUAAGGAAAAGACAGACUUAUACCAAGCUGCUUGACCAGAUGGGUAGCCUGGUGGUGAGGCACGACAAAACCAUUCUGAGUCAUUCCUUUAUGGAGCAGAUGGUAUCAUUUCUCCUUUAGAAUAGUAGAGAUGACCUGUCCACCAUGCCUUGUCAUCAAGUCUCUUUAGAACAAUGGUUCUCAACCUGUGGGUCACGACCCCUGGAGAGGUCGAAUGACCCUUUCGCAGGGGUUACCUAAGACCACCAGAAAACACAUGUUUACAUCAUAAUUCAUAACGGCAGCAAAUUUUCAGCCAUGAGGUAGCAAUGAGAGUAAUUUUACGGCUGGGGGGUGGGGGGGGGGGAGUCGCCACACUGUGAGGAACUGUAUUAAAGGGCCGCAGCAUUAGGAAGGUUGGGACCCACUGCUUUAGAACAAAGUGAGGUAUAAUUAAAGUAAGCUCAUAACUGAGUUUUGUGUGUGGGCGUUUCCAAACGAUGUUCCAUAGAACCCAUACUCUAGGGGAGGUUGGGAAGAAGGGAGGCACUUUAUUGUUUUUUUGUUUGUUUGUUUUGUGUGUGUGUUUCGAGACAGGGUUUCUCUGUAUAGCCCUGGCUGUCCUGGAGCUCACUUUGUAGACCAGGCUGGCCUCAAACUCAGAAAUCCGCCUGCCUCUGCCUCCCCAGUGCUGGGAUUAAAGGCGUGUGCCACCAUGCCCGGCUUAUAUAUUUGGGGGGGGGGCACUUUAAUUUCAGAGUCUUUUCUAUGCCAAGGUGCGAGCGAGCAGCCUUGCAGGGAUGGAGCACGUCAUUGUCCUCACUGGAACACCCAACUCUGUCCUUGCAGGAUGACCGUUUCCCUGCACACAGGUUUGGAGAAUACUGCGCUAUGACGUGACUCUGAAGAAAAGAAGGCCCUUUUAUUUUACUAUUUUGCUUCAUUAUUUCUUUUUUCCUGUCAGCUUGUCUGUCUCUCUUUUCAAGCAAGGAGGCUGGGGCUUACACAUACCAAUGAGGGCUGAAACCUAGGGAAACGAGGAAGCCCUUGCCAGCGAUGUUUUCACUUUUUUUCAGAGAGCCUUUGAAACUCCCUUUCAGUCAUUGUCCCCAGGAUUCAGGGCACAUUUCCCCUGAAUAACCUUGGUAAUGGCAGAGGUUGACCCCACGAGACGGGAUUUGAUUUGAGGAACAAAACUACCAAACUCACCAAGAUUAUCCAUGUCAGAAGGAAGUAAACAGGAGUGGUUAACAGUAGGGGCGAAGGUUUCAACACCACUCCCGCUGUUUAAUGCCUAUUCAACAGUCACUGAGAGCGCUACCUGGCUCUCUGAGGACUCAGCACUUCUUCUGGACUUAGUUCUUAGUACUUCCUCUCUGUACUUAGUUUAGUACUUCCUCUGUAGAAAAUUGUGUGUACCUCGAAAGGUUACAAUAAUGAUAUAAAUAUUGAAAUAUUUAUACUGUGCAUCACCAGGCACUAUUAAAGUAGCCAAUGCCUCUAGCCAAAGCUUGGCUGGUUUUCUCCUGUGUCCUGUAAAACUUCGGUAAGGGUUCUCAAAGGAGAGUAGAGAUAGUUAGCUGCGGAAGGAUGAAUCCAUGGCUCUUCUUGAGGAAAUCUCUAAGAUUCCCUUAAUGGUUUUAAAGUGUGUGUGUGUGUGUAUGAAAAUGUGUGUGUGUGUGUGUGUGUGUGUGUGUGUGUAGUAUAUGCAUAUAGAGGACAGAGGUUGAUACUGGGGGUCUUCCUCCAUUGCUCCCUCCCCUUUAAUUUUUUGAGACUGGGUCUCUCACUGAAUCUGGGGCUCACAGAUUAGCUGGUCAGCAAGUUCCAACGAUCCUCCUGUCCCUUCCUUCCUAGCAUAGGUAUGAGCCACCAUGCCUGGAAAUUUUAUUGGGGCCUUGAACUAAGGGCGUCCUGCUUGAGUGGCAAAUAGUUUAUAGACUGAGCCACCUCCCCAGCCCCAGUUUAUUGCUUUUUAAUUGCACUUUACAUAAGCAAACACCCACCAUCUUGCUAUGUAAGUGAAUCCAACAUUUCCUUUUGAAUCAUAGACCUAUGAGAUUGUUAUUAAAUACUGCCUCUUUUUAGCCACCACACAGAAGACCUAGUUAGGCACCAUUGCACUCUAGGAGAUUAGAAACUGUAUUACUUGUUUUGGUUUAUUGUUGAUAGAGAUGCCGGGGACCAAACCCAGGGUGUCAUAAAAGCAAUUCAUUAGUAUUUUUAACAAUAACUAUAGAGCCAACUCUAUAUUGUGGGUUGUUUUGAUUACCAAUCUAGUUUGCUGGCUUAUGAGAAUUGAUAUAAUAAUUUCUAUCUGCUUCUUUAACAAAGUGAUUUUCUGUCUUAUAGUAAAGUUGUCAUAGAUUAGAAUGGAAUAGAUUUUUUAAAAUAUAUUUUUGUAAUUUUAUUUUUAUUAGAUGUAUUUAUUUUAUG